GAUGAACGCUAGCGGCAGGCCUAACACAUGCAAGUCGAGGGGUAACUAGAGUCAUAGCAAUAUUACUUUGGCUAGACCGGCGCACGGGUGCGUAACACGUAUGCAACCUACCUUAUACUGGGGAAUAACUUCGAGAAAUCGGCGCUAAUACCCCAUAACAUUGCGAAGAGGCAUCUCUUUGCAAUUAAAGCUCCGGCGGUAUAAGAUGGGCAUGCGUCCGAUUAGCUAGUUGGUGAGGUAACGGCUCACCAAGGCUACGAUUGGUAGGGGUUCUGAGGGGAUGAAGCCCCACACAGGUACCGAGAAACGCACCAGACUCCUAGGGGAGGCAGCAGUGGGGAAAAUUGCGCAAUGGCGGAAAGUCUGACGCAGCCAUGCCGCGUGCGGGAGGACGGCCCUAUGGGUUGUAAACUGCUUUUGUACGGGAAUAAACCCUUCUACGUGUAGGAGGCUGAAGGUACCGGAAGAAUCAGCACCGGCUAACUCCGUGCCAGCCGCCGCAGUAA
rnacentral:rRNA from 1 species